GGUUUAUGAUGGAGAAGGAUACUGAGACGUCUAGAGGUGGAGAGAGUGACUGCCCCUGAGGAAAUGCCUAACCAACUGCACUAGAGGCAACCAGACCAGAGGGACAAAGAAUGUGAGCUCAGAUUUCCUAUGGAUUUUCUGUAAAACUUUGAGCAUCUAUAAAUGAAGAUAAUGAUGGUGAUUUCUUCAAGGAACUACUCUGAGGAUUCAACAAGGUCACAUUUGUUAAGUCUUUUCUAUGACUGAUGAGCAAGGAGGAAGGCUGGGUUGACAAUGGAGAGUGGCAGGAGGAGGGAUCUGAAGAGAGCUAUGGAUUCAACUAUAUUGAACACCAGACUGUUUAGCAGGGAAGGUGGAAAGGAAGGGAGAGGGGAUAUAGGUGGGAGAAAUGCAGGGAGAAGGAGGCAGGAGAGGGGAGGGGAAAGAGGAAGAAGAGGGGACGGGGAGGGAAGAGGGAGCAAAUGCUAUCUAGAAACUUCUAAAUGGUCUCUGUGCUAGAAAAGCAAGACAAGCAGGGAAAAAUAUGAGACUGACCAAGCAUCUGCGGGAACACUGAUGGACCUGUUGCCUUGGUGACAUGACUGACUACUCAAUUGUUUGAUUUUCUUAGGCUUCCUCAGUGACUUUAAAGCCAAAAGCAGGGAAAGCAAUGGUUGAGUUGACCUUCAUUUUGAGGUUAUUAGAAAAGCUGGAUUAGAAGGCCAAGAGGCCCAGGACACAAAACUACCCUAGGGAUUAAACUGAAA
rnacentral:lncRNA from 1 species